GUGAGGAAUAUUGGGCAAUGGGCGCAAGCCUGACCCAGCAACGCCGCGUGAAGGAAGAAGGCUUUCGGGUUGUAAACUUCUUUUACCAGGGACGAAACAAAUGACGGUACCUGGUGAAUAAGCCACGGCUAACUACGUGCCAGCAGCCGCGGUAAUACGUAGGUGGCGAGCGUUAUCCGGAUUUAUUGGGUGUAGAGGGCGUGUAGGCGGGACAGCAAGUCAGAUGUGAAAACCAGAGGCUCAACCUCUGGCCUGCAUUUGAAACUGUUGUUCUUGAGUGUCGGAGAGGUAAUCGGAAUUCCGUGUGUAGCGGUGAAAUGCGUAGAUAUACGGAGGAACACCAGUGGCGAAGGCGGAUUACUGGACGAUAACUGACGCUGAGGCGCGAAAGCGUGGGGAGCAAACAGGAUUAGAUACCCCGGUAGUCC
rnacentral:rRNA from 1 species